rnacentral:rRNA from 1 species
AACGAACGCUGGCGGCGCGUUUUAAACAUGCAAGUCGAACGGUAUCCUCGGUGCUUGCAUUGAGGAGAGAGUGGCGAACGGGUGAGUAACACGUGGAUAAUCUGCCUGUAGAAUUGGGAUAACAGCCCGAAAGGGUUGCUAAUACCGAAUAAGAUGGCGGCUGCACAAGCAGCAGUCAUUAAAGGUGGGGACCGCAAGGCUUACCGUCUAUAGAUGAGUCCGCGGCUGAUUAGCUUGUUGGCGGGGUAAUGGCCCACCAAGGCGACGAUCAGUAGCCGGCCUGAGAGGGUGAACGGCCACAUUGGGACUGAGACACGGCCCAGACUCCUACGGGAGGCAG